CUACGGGUGGCUGCAGUGAGGAAUAUUGGACAAUGGGGGCAACCCUGAUCCAGCCAUGCCGCGUGAGUGAAGAAGGCCUUAGGGUUGUAAAGCUCUUUCAAUAGUGAAGAUGAUGACGGUAGCUAUAGAAGAAGCCCCGGCUAAAUUCGUGCCAGCAGCCGCGGUAAUACGAAUGGGGCAAGCGUUGUUCGGAAUCACUGGGCUUAAAGCGUGCGCAGGCGGCCUGUAAAGUCAGGAGUGAAAUCCCGGGGCUUAACCCCGGAAUUGCUUCUGAAACUCACAGGCUAGAAUCCGGGAGAGGUUGGGAGAAUUCCUAGUGUAGAGGUGAAAUUCGCAGAUAUUAGGAGGAAUACCAGUGGCGUAGGCGCCCAACUGGACCGGUAUUGACGCUCAUGUACGAAAGCGUGGGUAGCAAACAGGAUUAGAUACCCGCGUAGUC
rnacentral:rRNA from 1 species